UUAAAGUUUAUUACAGUGGUUAUAGUAUCAAGUAUGCCAUCUUCAUCUAGCUUUAUAGCAAGAAAAUGGCAAAAUAUGAGAAGUACAUAUACUAGAGUGAUAUACCCUGUCUCAACUGAGAUAAGAACUAAAAAAAACGAGGAGCGAAAUUACGUAGGCGAAAAAAAAAAGGAAUUGGUUAAUCGGCAGACUCAGUCUACAACAGUACAAGUACAAAGCAAGAAAAAGUGUGAACGUGAUAGAUCAGGAAGUUUUGACUAAAGACUGAUGACAGUGAAAUGUUGGCCACAAGAGUUACCCCAGCAAAAGGAAAGGAUCAAACUACUGAUGACACCUCCGCCACCAUAGUCCCAACAGUGAUGGAAAUACCAAUUAUAAAGCAGCACUACCAGGAAAUGGCCCCCAAAUGAUGGGACCAUGGGAAGAGGAUUGACUCUGACAGUGCUCCACACCACCUUCCCAUUUGUCUGCCAAUUAUUGACAACUCUAGAUCAGACCAGAUGGCAUUAACCUAGGCUAAAGCGGUAAUCCAGAGCAUGCCACUGGUCAAUCAAAAAUACAGCAGUUUUGAAAGAUCUGUUGUCAAGGCUCAGUUACGGGUGAGGGAAGUUGAAACUUAUGCUAAAUGCUAAGGGCUCAUCAGGCUGGCUGGUAUAUGACUAACUUAGCAGCGGUUUAGGCUCUAUUUAUAUCAUCAGUUCCAUGGACAACAACAGUAAUGGUAUGAACUUGAUAAAAUAACUGAAGUAACAUAUGAGAAGACAGAACUGGACAGGAAGUCCUGGGGUUAAGCAGACAAUAAAUGAUGGAUGGAACAAAAUGCCUGAUUGCCUCCAACUUUGGUACAAAUUCCAAGGGCACUUAGCAAAAAGACUUACUAUUGCUAACCGAACAGAAGGUUUCACAGAGCUUUACGAGAGCAAAGCCACUACCCGUGGCAGAAAGUACAUGCCACUGGCAGUUGACAAAUUUGAAGAGAAGUAUAGGUCUGCAGAAGAAUUAUGGUCCAUGUGAAGUUCUACCCAUAAAACUUUUGUUUUCCAGUGUAUUGAAUUUAUCAAUAAAGAGGAAGAUUAUUCCUGACUUCAAGUAA
rnacentral:lncRNA from 1 species